CCUUCGUGAUGACACCCGCACACGUCUUACGCCUUGUGUCAAUGCCAGAACCUGAAAAGGUGAACCCACUGGUGUUACCUUGGCAAUAAGGGGAAGACCCGUUGGGGUUACCAACAGUCUGAAUGGA